GGGACCGUGGUACAGGGGCAAGCGUGGUUGCCUCUCACCCAGUCGGCUUGGGUUCGAUCCCAGACGGUCCCG
rnacentral:tRNA from 1 species